rnacentral:rRNA from 1 species
UACGGAGGGUGCGAGCGUUGUCCGGAAUCAUUGGGCGUAAAGGGCGCGUAGGUGGCGGGACAAGCGUGCGGUGAAAGCUCGGGGCUCAACCCCGCGUCGGCCGUGCGAACUGUUUUGCUUGAGCACUGUAGAGGCAGGCGGAAUUCCGGGUGUAGCGGUGGAAUGCGUAGAGAUCCGGAAGAACACCGGUGGCGAAGGCGGCCUGCUGGGCAGUAGCUGACACUGAGGCGCGACAGCGUGGGGAGCAACAGG